rnacentral:misc_RNA from 1 species
AAUCUGAAGGUACAAAGUCAGGGCUAUAUGGUGGAUGUGACAACACGUCCCAACCUAAGUUCCAAUCAUUCUUGGCGAGUGACCAAAGAUGUGUGGGGCUUUGCAUUAUCAUGCUGGAAAACAACACCCUUACGAUUUGCCAAUUCUGGCCUCUUUUCUUCAACUGCAUCGCUCAGUUUGGCGAGUUGUUCAACGUACACGUUUGAAUUAAUCGUUUGGUUUCUUGGUAAAGCCAAGCUGUUUUAAUUUUUUUCAAUGCAUGUAUGCGAUACACCGAGCUUCUCUGCAAUCUCACGCGUUGUGCUAUGACGAUCUGAAUCGAUAAUGGCCUUGAUAUGGGUCUCAUCAACUUCAACUGGACGGCCAGAUCGUUGAGCAUUUUUUAGUGAAAAAUCACCGGAACGAAAUUUGGCAAACCUAUUUUGACUCUGCCUUUCUUUCAAGGCUUCAUUCUCAUAUAAGUCACAUAACUUCUUGUGUGCUUGCAAUGCCCUUUCGGAAAUAAUACAAUAAAAUAUGUCUGAAAUGCGCGUCUUGUUCUUCCAUUUUUAAAUUGGGAUAAAAACGAAACUAAAUAACUAAUCGAUACAAUUUUUUUACUAAAUUAAAGGUGAAA